CAAUAGCGUAUAUUAAAGUUGUUGCAGUUAAAAAGCUCGUAGUUGGAUUUGUGGUUGUUGCGUGCGGCCCGCAUUCGUGCGGUGCUUGCUAGCACGGCCAUCCUUGGGUGGAAUCUGUGUGGCAUUAGGUUGUCGUGCAGGGGAUGCCCAUCGUUUACUGUGAAAAAAUUAGAGUGUUCAAAGCAGGCUUACGCCGUUGAAUAUAUUAGCAUGGAAUAAUAAGAUAGGACCUUGGUACUAUUUUGUUGGUUUGCGCACCAAGGUAAUGAUUAAUAGGGACAGUUGGGGGUAUUCGUAUUCCAUUGUCAGAGGUGAAAUUCUUGGAUUUUUGGAAGACGAACUACUGCGAAAGCAUUUACCAAGGAUGUUUUCAUUAA
rnacentral:rRNA from 1 species